rnacentral:rRNA from 1 species
AUUGAACGCUGGCGGCAUGCCUUACACAUGCAAGUCGAACGGCAGCACGGGAGCAAUCCUGGUGGCGAGUGGCGAACGGGUGAGUAAUAUAUCGGAACGUGCCCGGUCGUGGGGAUAACGUAGCGAAAGCUACGCUAAUACCGCAUACGAUCUACGGAUGAAAGCGGGGGAUCGCAAGACCUCGCGCGAUUGGAGCGGCCGAUAUCAGAUUAGGUAGUUGGUGAGGUAAAGGCUCACCAAGCCGACGAUCUGUAGCUGGUCUGAGAGGACGACCAGCCACACUGGGACUGAGACACGGCCCAGACUCCUACGGGAGGCAGCAGUGGGGAAUUUUGGACAAUGGACGCAAGUCUGAUCCAGCCAUUCCGCGUGCAGGAUGAAGGCCCUCGGGUUGUAAACUGCUUUUGUACGGUAACGAAAGGUUUACUAUUAAUACUAGGAGCUCAUGGCGGUACCGUAAGAAUAAGCACCGGCUAACUACGUGCCA